ACAGCUAUCUCUUCUUGUGUGUAUCUUCCCUACUGGUUCAGUGCAAGUGUAGAGAUACUUAUAUUCUAUAGUGUACACUUAGUCCUAAUAACUCUUCUAUUCAUUGGGAUUAUCCGGCUUCUGGUGGUUAUUAAGUUUGACCAAAUGAUCGGGUUUGAUCCUGAAGAACUGGCACUGAGAAUUCUCUGCUCAAUUAUCAUGGUCUCUGCUGCUAUUGUGGCAUUUCCCUCAAUUUACACCAUCAAAACAGGGUUUAUAACACCUCAAGUGUCAAUCUUUACUGGACAGCCUCAGACAUCAGGAACAAUU